rnacentral:rRNA from 1 species
AGUGAACGCUGGCGGUAGGCCUAACGCAUGCAAGUCGAACGGCAGCACAGUAAGAGCUUGCUCUUACGGGUGGCGAGUGGCGGACGGGUGAGGAAUACAUCGGAAUCUACUUUUUCGUGGGGGAUAACGUAGGGAAACUUACGCUAAUACCGCAUACGACCUACGGGUGAAAGCAGUGGAUCUUCGGACCUUGCGCGAUUGAAUGAGCCGAUGUCGGAUUAGCUAGUUGGCGGGGUAAAGGCCCACCAAGGCGACGAUCCGUAGCUGGUCUGAGAGGAUGAUCAGCCACACUGGAACUGAGACACGGUCCAGACUCCUACGGGAGGCAGCAGUGGGGAAUAUUGGACAAUGGGCGCAAGCCUGAUCCAGCCAUACCGCGUGGGUGAAGAAGGCCUUCGGGUUGUAAAGCCCUUUUGUUGGGAAAGAAAAGCAGCAGGUUAAUACCCCGCUGUUCUGACGGUACCCAAAGAAUAAGCACCGGCUAACUUCGUG